GAUGAAGAACGCAGCGAAAUGCGAUAAGUAAUGUGAAUUGCAGAAUUCCGUGAAUCAUCGAAUCUUUGAACGCACAUUGCGCCCCCUGGUAUUCCGGGGGGCAUGCCUGUCCGAGCGUCAUUGAACGCAACUCAAGCCCCCGGGCUUGGUGUUGGGGAUCGGCGAGCCUCCGCGCCCGCCGUCCCCUAAAUCUAGUGGCGGUCUCGCUGUAGCUUCCUCUGCGUAGUAGCACACCUCGCACUGGGAAACAGCGCGGCCACGCCGUUAAACCCCCAACUUCUGAACGUUUGACCUCGGAUCAGGUAGGAAUACCCGCUGAACUUAAGCAUAUCAAUAAGCGGAGGA
rnacentral:misc_RNA from 1 species